UGGAGGCCACUAUUUUCAGUCACCAAUGCAUGACACCGACACCACCAAUCGAACCAGCUAGGAGCUCAAUCCGAUCAAAACCCAAGCCCAGCACCGCCGUGCACCCACUCCUGCCUCCGUACGCGAUCCUCCAAGCUGCUACUCCCUAGCCUUCGUCAGAUUUCGGUUGCCAUCUUGCAACAUCUCUGCCAUCGCUUUGAUUUAUUUGAGUACUGAAGGCUGAAGCAGAGGAGAGCGGUUAUGAAUUCGUGCUUUUCUUUCUGAGCAUCUUGUGCUUGAAAUUAUUUAAGUACUUGAAGAUUACUACUCUUCUAGCUUGCUAGGCCUGGCAGUGACAGAGGCGUUUGGUUUCAUCGUUGCCUGGAGAAUCGGCCAUUGAUCAAGGGAGGCUUUGCUCGGAAACCGAGGCAUUGUAUCGAAGUAUCGGACACAAGAUCAACAAAUCUGUUCAUCAUCUCAACUUGACAGAAAGCUAAAGAUGCAGAGAAUGAGAAAGUACCAUUGAUGAGGUCUGCUACUGGAAGCUGUGCAGAUGUAGAGCCAGUUCCUGCUACAAAUCCAUCUUGAAUCCUCCCUGCAUUGCCUCAAGCUUCAGUUAGUUGUGGUUAAACUGUGCCAUCAAUUCAUAAUGGAAUUUUCUGGAUGAAUAUUGUGUUGAUGUUAUUGGAAUGAAUACUGCUAAUGGAAUAUUGUAC